AGCGUACUAAUUGACACAGAAGAGCAGACUUCUGGUUUGGGAGUGGGAAUUGAAAUGGAGACAGAGGUCCCACUACAGGCAGGUGAGCUGGCAGGAAGCAGCUUUAGAGGAGCUCAUGCUAAGACGCUCCCUCAGUCUGUGCAGCACUCAAGGCACCCAUGAGCACGUCCCAGACCCCUAACAGAGCAGGACCCCGAGAGCUCUGCGAAAACACAGAGCCUACUCAGCUUUGCUGAAAUCGGCUAAUGGCUGACCUUGAACUUCCCAGGUGCAGGUCCUCACAGCUCAUCACAAGGCAUAAUUCAGGAGGGAACGGGCCACACAGGAUGGUGUCUCAGAGAAGAAUGGAAGCGACAAGUUUCUACAAGAGCCGAGAGUAGCUGCCGGAGGGCAGGGCAAGUUAAAACUGUGGAACAAGAAUACUGAAAAUGGUCAUGUAUAUUUGCAAACACUUACGUA